CUGGACAGAGCGCUGAUUGAUUCCAGAUGGCAACCUGCUACAAAUUCUGCAGCUUCACCCGGCUGUGUUGCUGGAGACAACUCAGCAACAACCUUGAUACCUCCCUCUGUGACGCCUUGGACCCGGGAUCUCUGGAAUCUGACGCUGGAUGAAAACCUCAUUCCUGCCUGAAAGAACUGUGUAACCAGAGACAUCUCUUCUCCUGCUGCUGUGUUGUAAAUUACGGACGGCUCAGCGAGUGUGGCGGGACAGAACACAAAUGUUUGCUGUCUUCCCUUGUCUGGGCCUUGUCUUCUCAAGAGCCUUUUCAAACUGUUGCAGCCAUUGCAAACAAGAAAAGAGGAUGUGCUUUGCGGGGAGCUGGGAGGUGGUAUUUAGUACCUCAGGCACACUUGGGCCACUGUUGGCAUGUGGAUGUGUUGUAAUACUGUCUUAUGUUGCUGUACAUGUACUUUGGGUUAGUUAUAUGUCCCUCUGUGAAUUUGAU